rnacentral:rRNA from 1 species
CCUACGGGAGGCAGCAGUGGGGAAUCUUGCACAAUGGAGGAAACUCUGAUGCAGCGAUGCCGCGUGAGUGAAGAAGGCCUUUGGGUUGUAAAGCUCUUUUGUAGGGGAAGAUAAUGACUGUACCCUAAGAAUAAGGUCCGGCUAACUUCGUGCCAGCAGCCGCGGUAAUACGAAGGGACCUAGCGUAGUUCGGAAUUACUGGGCGUAAAGCGCGCGUAGGCCGUUGAGUUAGUUAAUUGUGAAAUCCCAAAGCUUAACUUUGGAACUGCAAUUAAAACUGCUCGACUAGAGUUUGAUAGAGGAAAGCGGAAUACAUAGUGUAGAGGUGAAAUUCGUAGAUAUUAUGUAGAACACCAGUUGCGAAGGCGGCUUUCUGGAUCAACACUGACGCUGAGGCGCGAAAGUAUGGGUAGCAAAGAGGAUUAGAUACCCUCGUAGUCCAUACCAUAAACGAUGAUUGCUAGAUGUUGGAAAUUUAUUUUCAGUAUCGCAGCUAACGCAUUAAGCAAUCCGCCUGGGGAUACGACCGCAAGGUUAAAACUCAAAGAUAUGCGNGNGAGAGCGACGACGACGACGACGAGGAG